CAGUCGCCACGGGAAUACGAAGGGUGCAAGCGUUAAUCGGAAUUACUGUGCGUAAAGCGUGCGUAGGCGGUUUGUUAAGUCUGCUGUGAAAUCCCCGGGCUCAACCUGGGAAUGGCAGUGGAUACUGGCAAGCUAGAGUGUGUCAGAGGAUGGUGGAAUUCCCGGUGUAGCGGUGAAAUGCGUAGAGAUCGGGAGGAACAUCAGUGGCGAAGGCGGCCAUCUGGGACAACCCUGACGCUGAGGCACGAAAGCGUGGGGAGCAAACAGGAUUAGAGACCCGGGUAGUCCCUGUCUCUUAUAC
rnacentral:rRNA from 1 species